AUUUUUAUUAGUUUGAGUUUUUACUCGUAUAAUUUUCGAAUCGAUAAAGUUGAAAAAAGCAGGGAUUUUAAAAAAUAUGUUAAAUAUCGCAGUAUAGCUGUUACGCUGUAGAGGUGUGUCUUCAACAUAUAUUUCUUAAAAAAAAAAAAAAUUAAAAAAUGUUGUACGACACAAAGUAUGGAAAUUUCCUUUGUUUUCUAUAUGUAGGUACUCAUAUUCUUCAUCGACUACAUCAUGUCUACAUUAUACGGCGUUUAUGGAAACAAGUCAAUAUAUAUAUUAUUAUAUACAAUUCUGCAAAAUAUUUUUAGUCUUUUUUUUUGUCUCUUGUUUUAUUCGAUUUAUUUAGAAUGUAGGUUUAUAUUAUACUCGUGAUAUUUUUAUUAACUACAAAAAUUUUUUUUUUUCAAUACUUAAAUGUAACUAGCUGUUUUAGAAAAUAAACAUAUACUAUAAUAAUAGCUUUCUAUAUACGAUUUAUUUUGUUUUAAAAAUGUGAAUGAUUAUCUUAAAGUGGGUUUUAUGUUAAAUAUGUUGCACUUCAAUAAUACAUAAUAAAACAUUAAAUUUACAAAAAAAAUUAGAAUUUAGACAUUUUUGAUAACCUUUUGAGUACCGUGUACGCCACCUCAGAACAAUUCAAUCAAUAAUCGCACUAACAAUAUUAGAAUAUUCAUCUUGUAUUAAAGGAAAAGUGUGAUGCGAUAAUACUAAAGCAAUAAUAUUUUUGUAAACGCGAUUUUGAUACGGCGCCAAUUAUUUAUACGGGUAUCAAACGUUAUAAUUUAUAAUAAAUGACAAAUCGUUUAAAUAGUAAAUAAGUAAAUAAUUCGUAGGUGCGGUACCUACAUUUAAAUAGGUACCAACUUAUUUAAAUUUUAAAAUAAGCAAAAUUAUUCAAAUAUAGUCUAUAAAUGCUUAAAUUAACAUAGUCGGGUGAUAUUUAAUCCUAUAUCAUCGGAAGAAUACAAUUAUUUCAUAAUGUGCGAUGAAAAAAAAUUAACGGAAACGUUAAUUUUUUUAAAUUUUUUUUUAUACGAAUUUUCUAAUACCUGCAGCAUACUGUUAUCGUUUACAAAUAGCUGCCACCGCAGCUAUUCAUUUGUACGUUUUUAUCAUUUUAACUGUUGGAAUUAAUUAUAAUAUACAUAUAUAUAUAUACAAACGAAUGGCUCGUCACACAAAUAUAAUCGUACCAUUAUGUAUGAGUUUAUGAGAUUUGUUUAUUUAUCUAUUUACCUAUAUGUGAUUUCGUCGAUUAAUUUCUAUUCCAAAAAUUAUUUAAGUAUAGUUGUAACUAUAAAAUAAUCAUAAUUAAUUUUACAAGUUUAAUGCACAACACAAUUACAAUGCUGGCUAGUAACUUAAGUAAAAUAGUUA